rnacentral:rRNA from 1 species
ACGGGUGAGUAACACGUGAGCAAUCUGCCCUGGACUCUGGGAUAACCCCGAGAAAUCGGAGCUAAUACCGGAUACGACACCUCCCGGCAUCGGGUGGGUGUGGAAAGAAUUUCGGUCCAGGAUGAGCUCGCGGCCUAUCAGCUUGUUGGUGAGGUAACGGCUCACCAAGGCGACGACGGGUAGCCGGCCUGAGAGGGUGACCGGCCACACUGGGACUGAGACACGGCCCAGACUCCUACGGGAGGCAGCAGUGGGGAAUAUUGCACAAUGGGCGCAAGCCUGAUCUAGCCAUGCCGCGUGAGUGAUGAAGGCCUUAGGGUCGUAAAGCUCUUUCGCCAGAGAUGAUAAUGACAGUAUCUGGUAAAGAAACCCCGGCUAACUCCGUGCCAGCAGCCGCGGUAAUACGGAGGGGGUCAGCGUUGUUCGGAAUUACUGGGCGUAAAGCGCACGUAGGCGGAUUAGAAAGUUGGGGGUGAAAUCCCGGGGCUCAACCUCGGAACGGCCUCCAAAACUCCUAGUCUAGAGUUCGAGAGAGGUGAGUGGAAUUCCAAGUGUAGAGGUGAAAUUCGUAGAUAUUUGGAGGAACGCCAGUGGCGAAGGCGGCUCACUGGCUCGAUACUGACGCUGAGGUGCGAAAGUGUGGGGAGCAAACAGGAUUAGAUACCCUGGUAG